rnacentral:rRNA from 1 species
GACCAUCUCCUAAGGCUAAAUACUCUCUAGUGACCGAUAGUGAACCAGUACCGUGAGGGAAAGGUGAAAAGCACCCCGGAAGGGGAGUGAAAUAGAACCUGAAACCGUGUGCUUACAAGUAGUCAGAGCCCGUUAAUGGGUGAUGGCGUGCCUUUUGUAGAAUGAACCGGCGAGUUACGAUUUGAUGCAAGGUUAAGCAGUAAAUGUGGAGCCGUAGCGAAAGCGAGUCUGAAUAGGGCGUUUAGUAUUUGGUCGUAGACCCGAAACCAGGUGAUCUACCCUUGGUCAGGUUGAAGUUCAGGUAACACUGAAUGGAGGACCGAACCGACUUACGUUGAAAAGUGAGCGGAUGAACUGAGGGUAGCGGAGAAAUUCCAAUCGAACCUGGAGAUAGCUGGUUCUCUCCGAAAUAGCUUUAGGGCUAGCCUCAAGUGAUGAUUAUUGGAGGUAGAGCACUGUUUGGACGAGGGGCCCCUCUCGGGUUACCGAAUUCAGACA